rnacentral:tRNA from 1 species
GCUCGGAUGGUGAAAUUGGUAGACACAAGGGACUUAAAAUCCCUCGGCCGCAAGGCUGUGCCGGUUCGAGUCCGGCUCCGAGCA